AUUGAACGCUGGCGGCAUGCCUAACACAUGCAAGUCGAACGAUAACAGGAAGAAUCUUGCUUCUUUGCUGACUAGUGGCUGGCGGGUGAGUCAUGUCUUGGAAACUGCUUUAUGGAGGGGGUUAACUACUGGAAUCGGUAGCUAAUACCGCAUAACUUUGCAAGUCCAAAAAGGGGGACCUUCAGGCCUCUUUCCGUCGGCUGUGCACAGAUGGGAUUAGCUAGUAGGUGGUGUAACGGCUCACCUAUGAGCCACUCUCAAACUGGUCUAAGAGGAUGACCGACAACAGGGAACUGAGACACGGUCCAGACUCCUACGGGAGGCAGCAGUGGGGAAUAUUGCGCAAUGGGCGAAAGCCUGAUGCAGCAAAGCCGCGUGAAUGAAGAAGGACUUCGGGUGGUAAAGUACUGUAAGCGGGGAGGAAGGGAGGAAAGUUAAUACCUGAGCUUAUUGACGGUACCGGCAGAAGAAGCACCGGCUAACUCCGUG
rnacentral:rRNA from 1 species